rnacentral:rRNA from 1 species
AACGUACGCUGGCGGCACGCCUAACACAUGCAAGUCGAACGAAGUAGCAAUACUUAGUGGCAGACGGGUGAGUAACAUGUAGGUAUCUGCCCUUUGGCCUGGAAUAACACGAGGAAACUUGUGCUAAUACCGGAUAAGUCUUUACGGAGAAAGCUUUAUGCACCAUUGGAUGAGCCUGCACUUGAUUAGUUUGUUGGUGGGGUAAUGGCCUACCAAGACUGUGAUCAAUAGCUGAUUUGAGAGGAUGAUCAGCCACAUUGGGACUGAGACACGGCCCAAACUCCUACGGGAGGCAGCAGUGGGGAAUCUUGCACAAUGGAGGAAACUCUGAUGCAGCGAUGCCGCGUGAGUGAAGAAGGCCCUUGGGUUGUAAAGCUCUUUCGUCGGGGAAGAAAAUGACUGUACCCGAAUAAGAAGGUCCGGCUAACUUCGUGCCAGCAGCCGCGGUAAUACGAAGGGACCUAGCGUAGUUCGGAAUUACUGGGCUUAAAGAGUUCGUAGGUGGUUGAAAAAGUUAGUGGUGAAAUCCCAGAGCUUAACUCUGGAACUGCCAUUAAAACUUUUCAGCUAGAGUAUGAUAGAGGAAAGCAGAAUUUCUAGUGUAGAGGUGAAAUUCGUAGAUAUUAGAAAGAAUACCAAUUGCGAAGGCAGCUUUCUGGAUCAUUACUGACACUGAGGAACGAAAGCAUGGGUAGCGAAGAGGAUUAGAUACCCUCGUAGUCCAUGCCGUAAACGAUGUGUGUUAGACGUUGGAAAUUUAUUUUCAGUGUCGCAGGGAGACCGAUAAACACACCGCCUGGGGAGUACGACCGCAAGGUUAAAACUCAAAUGAAUUGACGGGGACCCGCACAAGUAGUGGAGCAUGUGGUUUAAUUCGAAGAUACGCGCAGAACCUUACCAACACUUGACAUGUUCGUCGCGACUCUAAGAGAUUAGAGUUUUCGGUUCGGCCGGACGAAACACAGGUGCUGCAUGGCUGUCGUCAGCUCGUGUCGUGAGAUGUUGGGUUAAGUCCCGCAACGAGCGCAACCCUCACUUUUAGUUGCCAUCAUUAAGUUGGGCACUCUGAAAGAACUGCCAGUGAUAAGCUGGAGGAAGGUGGGGAUGACGUCAAGUCCUCAUGGCCCUUACGUGUUGGGCUACACACGUGCUACAAUGGUAUCUACAACAGGAAGCAAGACUGCGAAGUUAAGCAAAUCCCUAAAAGAUACCUCAGUUCGGAUUGCACUCUGCAACUCGAGUGCAUGAAGCUGGAAUUACUAGUAAUCGUGGAUCAGCGUGCCACGGUGAAUGCGUUCCCGGGUCU